rnacentral:rRNA from 1 species
CCAAGUCCAACAGAACUUGCUCCGGUGGCACGCCAAUUCCUCAUACAAGUAUAUUUAUACGCGAGCCAAUAGAUAUGACAAGUUCAAGUCAGUCGUCUUUGGAUGAUGAAGUGACAAAAGAAUCAUCUACGAUUUUUCCUACUAAUGGCAUGCUCAUAUCAACUGAGGGCUUGGAGCGAGGAGAAAGCUCAAAAGGACGAAAGCGUGUACGUGAAGCAAUAAGAUAUGCUAGCCGUACACCAGAACAAAUCCAAGCAAGGCGAGAACGUGUUAGAGCACGUCGGCAAAAUUUAACACCUGCUGAGAGGGAAAAGAUUAAUGCACAAAGAAGAGAGAAAAGACAACGAAUGGCACUUGAUGAGAGGAAUGCAAGCCAACGAGCACGUAGGCAAAGUUUGACAAUAGAUGAGAGGCAAGAAAUAAAUGCACGCCGGCGAGCACGUAGGCAAAGCCUACCACCUGAAGAGCGGCAAGCACUCCUAGCUCAACGUAAUGCAAGCUACACAUCUAAACGAGAUGCCCUCUACAGGGAUUCUGUUGCACUACAGUGCCCUGCAGGUUCAUUGAUGGGACAUCCAUCAUCAAGUUCUUAUGUCUUUAGCCACCCAGGAGAUGAUGAUACUAUCCAGCACAUGGAACUCACAUCGGUGCAAUGUCCAACAUCUACAUCAGUGGACAAUCCAUUAUCACCCCAUGAUGGUCUCGUAUAUUCAGAUUCCCCAAUAGAAAGCUUUGUCGCCGAUGAUGAUGAUUCUCACAUGUCUGAAGAACAAGAUGAUGAGUACUUCGCAUUUGCUGGGAGAGGUGACGAUGAAUACUUGGUAGAUGCCUUUACAACAGACACCAUUGUCCCUGACCUAUAUGAUCGUGUCUACCACAAUAUACCAGUGAGCAGAUGGAUGAUGUGA